UCAACCUGGUUGAUCCUGCCAGUAAUCAUAUGCUUGUGUUAAAGAUUAAGCCAUGCAUGUCUAAGUAUAAAUUCAUUCUUACGGUGAAACUGCGAAUGGCUCAAUAAAUCAGUAAUAAUUUAUUUGGUGGUACAAGUUACUUGGAUAACCCUGUUAAUUGUAGAGCUAAUACAUGCAAGAUAAUACCACGAUCC
rnacentral:rRNA from 1 species